rnacentral:rRNA from 1 species
UACAGAGGUCUCAAGCGUUGUUCGGAUUCAUUGGGCGUAAAGGGUGCGUAGGCGGCGCGGUAAGUCGGGUGUGAAAUCUUGGAGCUUAACUCCGAAACUGCAUUCGAUACUGCCGUGCUUGAGGACUGGAGAGGAGACUGGAAUUUACCGUGUAGCGGUGAAAUGCGUAGAUAUCGUAAGGAAGACCAGUGGCGAAGGCGGGUCUCUGGACAGUUCCUGACGCUGAGGCACGAAGGCCAGGGGAGCAAACGGG